rnacentral:sRNA from 1 species
ACAAGGGAGCGCGCCACCGGGAGCUCACCGCAAGGCCGAAGGUCGGGUCCGCUGGCGCAGGAGGAUCGGAGAAGGGCGGGAGAGCUGCAGAAGUGGGAGCUGCUGAAGUGGACGUUGCUGAAGAGGUAUUUUGGAGAAGCUGCAGAACCACACCCCGGAGAUGCACUCCUGGACUUUGCCAGGGUCCCUAGUGUGCUGGAUGCCUGCUGCAGAGGACACACUCAACUGGGCUGCGGACUUGGACACCACAUAGGGACUCCACACCGGGAAGACCCAAGCAAUGCUCUGUCUCAGUCUGCAAGCCUGGGAAGUCACUAACUGAACCAGCAACAUGAAGAUCACACCAUCAAACCGAUCAACACAACCCACACCAAAAAUUCUUUCUUCAUCUGGAACCUUGCCUUUCCCUCUGGAGCUGUCUGACCUCCCCACAGCAUUUGCUACCUUUGCCCCUAGACUCCUGGGAGCAUAGCAAGGACCUACAUUUUCCAGAGACUGCUGCUGCCCGCCUGUGUCUGUUUGGCC